rnacentral:misc_RNA from 1 species
AUUCAACCUCAAGUUGAGCAACAGUAACAUUUAAAGGCAAAUUGCGGAUAUAAAUGGAGUGUCCCUCAGCUCUGUACUGAGCAUCUUUAGAUUCAGAUGCAUUACCCCCAGAGGCAGUAUGAAUUGAUGAUUCAGGAACAGGAGCUUGUGCCACUGACUUAACUGGCUGCUUUUCAGUCUUUGCGGGAGCCAUUCUUGAAUUAGAGGGUACAUAGAUUUUGGCGGGCCCUUUCUUUGUUUGAGAACUUACAAUUGAAGCAUAAGAUUUCUUAGGAGCAUCUUCUCGGGAAACUGAAGUAGCUGGUUCUGCAUUAAUAUGGGAUUCAGCACCCACCAUAAUCUCUCUUUCAUCACCAACUACCUUCUCAUUUUCCAAAGAACCAUGAACUACUUCCUCAACAAUUUUUAUAUCUUCUGCAUGAGAGCUAGG